rnacentral:rRNA from 1 species
AGCUCCAAUAAUGUAUAUUAAAGUUGUUGCAGUUAAAAAUCUCGUGGUUGGAGUUGUGGUUGACGUAAGGCUUCCGUCUAUUUUGGGUUUCAGUAUUGCCUGAGGUUGCCAUCCUUGGGUGGAACCUGUGUGUCAUUAGGGUGUCGUGCAGGGGAUGCCUAUUUUUUACUGUGAAAAAAUUAAAGUGUUCAAAGCAGGCUUAUGUCGUUGAAUAUGUUAGCAUGGAAUAAAAAGAUAGAAUCUUGGUACUCUUUUGUUAGUUUGCGCACCAAUGUAAUGAUUAAAAGGGACGGUUGGGGGUAUUCGUAUUCCAUUGUCAGAGGUGAAGUUCUUGGAGUUUUGGAAGACAAACUAGUGUGAAAGCAUUUAACAAGGAUGUUUUCA